ACUAUACUCCCUCCGUCCGAAAUUACUUGUCGCGGAAAUGAAUAAAAAUGGAUGUAUCUAGAACUAAAAUAUGUCUAGAUACAUCCAUUUCUCCGACAAGUAUUUCCGGACGAAGGGAGUAGAUG
rnacentral:pre_miRNA from 1 species